rnacentral:rRNA from 1 species
UACGUAGGGGGCAAGCGUUGUCCGGAUUUAUUGGGCGUAAAGAGCGUGUAGGCGGUUUGGUAGGUCCAUUGUGAAAACUCGAGGCUCAACCUCGAGACGCCGGUGGAAACCAUCAGACUAGAGUCCGGAAGAGGAGAGUGGAAUUCCUGGUGUAGCGGUGAAAUGCGCAGAUAUCAGGAAGAACACCCGUGGCUAAGGCGGCUCUCUAGUACGGUACUGACGCUGAGACGCGAAAGCGUGGGGAGCGAACAGG